UACGAAGGUCCCAAGCGUUAUCCGGAUUUAUUGGGUUUAAAGGGUGCGUAGGCGGGUUAUUAAGUCAGUGGUGAAAGCCUACAGCUUAACUGUAGAAUUGCCAUUGAUACUGAUGAUCUUGAGUAUGAUUGAGGUGGGCGGAAUGUGUCAUGUAGCGGUGAAAUGCUUAGAUAUGACACCGAACACCGAUUGCGAAGGCAGCUCCCUAAGUCAUAACUGACGCUGAUGCACGAAAGCGUGGGGAGCAAACAGG
rnacentral:rRNA from 1 species